UGCAGGACGGACUAGUACGUUUCAUUUCCCAAUCACUUCCAAAUUACGACCACCGACAGCGCAACACCAAGUCCGCCAAGCUCCCUCUUCCGUCUUCAACUCCACCGCUGCAAAUCUCCGUCGUCUUCUCCAGUGCUUCUCUCUCUAUCUAUAUAUAUACGCACACAUAUAUAAAUAUGCUUUCUCUCUCCUCUCUCCAACCUUCUACUACUUCCCGCUCCUCCCUUCCCUCCAACUCCCUCCCAAAUCCCUAUCGCCGCUUCUCUCUCUCCCCUCCACCCCAUCGCCUCCCUCUCAACCCCCUUACCUCCUCAACCUCUCACCGACGCCUCCGAAUUCACUCUCUCGACGCCGCCCAGCCCUUCGACUACGAGUCCCAGAUCUCCGAUCGCAUCGCCAAAUCCACCAAGCUCAAAAUCGGCAUCAUUGGCUUCGGCAACUUCGGCCAAUUCCUCGCCAAAACCAUAGUCCGCCAAGGCCACACCGUCCUGGCCCAUUCUCGAUCCGACUACUCCGACAUCGCCAGCAAACUCGGCGUCUCUUUCUUCUCCGACGCGGAUGAUCUCUGCGAAGAACAUCCCGAGGUAAUCCUCGUCUGUACUUCUAUAAUUUCAACCGAAAAUGUUCUUCGUUCAUUGCCGUUACAGAGGUUAAAGCGAAGUACACUGUUUGUUGAUGUAUUGUCAGUGAAAGAGUUCCCUAGGAGCUUGUUUAUGCAAAUAUUGCCAGUGGAUUUUGAUAUUCUGUGUACACAUCCUAUGUUUGGACCCGAGAGUGGAAAGGAUGGUUGGACUGGGCUUCCAUUUGUGUAUGAUAGGGUUAGGGUUGGGGAUGAGGAGUCUAGGGUUUCGAGGUGUGACAGAUUUCUUGAAAUUUUUGCAAAAGAAGGUUGUAGGAUGGUGGAGAUGUUAUGUGCAGAGCACGACCGGCAUGCUGCUGGGUCGCAAUUUAUCACACACACAAUGGGGAGGAUUCUGGAGAAGUUGAGGUUGGAUGCUACUCCAAUUAACACAAAAGGGUAUGAGACUCUGUUGAAUUUGGUCGAAAAUACAGCAAGUGACAGCUUUGAUUUGUAUUAUGGGUUGUUUAUGUAUAAUAAGAAUGCAAUGGAGCAGUUGGAGAGGCUGGAUUUGGCGUUUGAGUCACUGAAGAAGGAAUUGUUUGGGCAUUUGCAUGAAGUUCUGAGGAAACAAUUGUUUGGGAAGGCAGAGGGGUUGGAUUUCUCCGGAGAGAGACCUGUGCUGUCGAAGUUGCCACAUAAUGGUGCUGCAUUGCCGCCUCCUUCAGAAACUCUGAAAUCAGAGACCAACUAGAUUCUUUAUAUCUGGUUUUAUUAUUUGGUCUAAAGCUCCGUGAAGAUCCGUCGAUGCAUUUAUAACUUGAUGUAGCUGGUUAAAGGGAACCAAUGAUCAAGAAGACAUUCCGGUGCUGCAGUACAGAAGUCCAUUUACUCUCCUGUAGUUGUGAUUUAUGCGAACACCAGAUGAUAAAAUGCAUUCUGGAUUCAUGCUCUUAAAAGACCGCAAGUAAGUCUUUGAUGAAAAGGUUCUCUGAAUUUGUCCUGAAAGCAACCCCAUGAGCUGAAAGCAGAUUGAAGUUUAUUGAGUUGUUUGGACAAUGAGGAAGGAAGGAGACAUACCAAUAACUGUAAUUUCCACCAAUAGAAGUGAGACAGACAUGAUGUACUACGAUAAAUUUCUCAUUUUGCUGAGACAGUGUUCCGUUUUUAUUAAGUACUAUUUGAUUGGUACCUAAAACCCUUUAAAUGUUGUGGCCAAAAAUUGAGUCUUCUUUAAUCUUUCUGAUACGUUAAGAAACUUUGAUUCCUGCUGAGUGAGAAUCAAAUAAGACCUGGAUAAACUACUAACCUUUCUGAAAGCUUUA